AACGAACGCUGGCGGCAUGCCUAACACAUGCAAGUCGAACGAGACCUUCGGGUCUAGUGGCGCACGGGUGCGUAACGCGUGGGAAUCUACCCUUGGGUUCGGAAUAACUCAGAGAAAUUUGAGCUAAUACCGGAUGAUGUCGCAAGACCAAAGAUUUAUCGCCCAAGGAUGAGCCCGCGUAGGAUUAGCUUGUUGGUGAGGUAAAAGCUCACCAAGGCGACGAUCCUUAGCUGGUCUGAGAGGAUGAUCAGCCACACUGGGACUGAGACACGGCCCAGACUCCUACGGGAGGCAGCAGUGGGGAAUAUUGGACAAUGGGCGAAAGCCUGAUCCAGCAAUGCCGCGUGAGUGAUGAAGGCCUUAGGGUUGUAAGCUCUUUACCCGGGAUGAUAAUGACAGUACCGGGAGAAUAAGCCCCGGCCUAACUCCGUGCCAGCAGCCGCGGUAAU
rnacentral:rRNA from 1 species